rnacentral:rRNA from 1 species
CAAAAAUGAAAUAAAUGAACGCAGGAUCAUUAAAGAUUUUGGGCUUUUAACCCGAUCGUUCAGCUGUGCGCCCUUCACCGGGCUGCACGCUGAAGCAAGACCCCACACCUGUGCACCUUUUCGGUUGCGGCUUCGGUCGCUGCCGCUUUUAAAUGCAACAACUCAGUCUCGAAUGUGAACAAAACCAUAAAAAAGAACCACCUUCAACAACGGAUCCCCUGGGUCCCCCCUCCAUUAAAAAAGCCACGAAAUGGCAAUAGUAAAGGGAAUUGGAAAAUUUCGUGGAUCCUCCAAUCCUUUAACGCCUUUUGGGCCUCCUGGUUUUUCAUGGAACCUGGCUGGUUUAAUGGUCCGUAAAACCCCCCCCCUGGCAAGUUACCAUCGCUCCCGGUGGAAUUGGAAUGGGGCCGAACCGGGUCCGCCUGGAAUGGAUUAACUGGGGCUUUUAAAAUGGUGGGCCAACGGGGGGUUAUUAUCUGGCGCCAUUGCCUUAGGCUCCU